rnacentral:tRNA from 6 species
GGCCCGUUGGUCAAGCGGUUAAGACACCGGCCUCUCACGCCGGUAACGCGGGUUCGAUUCCCGCACGGGUCACCA